UUCCAAGUGGCACACAGCAGCUGCAGCCUCUCGGCUGCCGGGUGACCUUUCCUGGCCCCCACCCUACCUGCCCCAUCGGAUUCUGAUGAUCCAGGUCUCUGACAAGCACCAGGUGCUCUCUAGUUUGGGGUCUGUAUGACCCAGGAGUGAAGCAGGGGUUUUCAGAAUGCACCGGGGCCAAGACUGGGAGACUUCUGGGCAAGUGGGCAAGACGACCACCCCUCAGAAGUGUGCCAGGCCUCCCCCAGGAGCCUCUCAGUCCUGGCCUCCAGAAUUCACGAGAGGCAUGGUCAGUGGAUUCAGAGGAGAUGGCAAGACCACCAGGCACCUGGCAGGAAAGGAGCACAGGUGCCUUCUGGAUAGCUGGCCAGCCCAAAGUGCACAAGAGGAGGACAUUUACAAGCAGUAGCUUUUCUGAGCCUUUUCACCUGACCCAGAGGCAGGAAGCAGGCUCGAGCUAGUGUAUGCCUUAGGAAAGCUCAACAAGCCAGCACAGGCUUCUCCAGGAAGGAUACAUUCAUGCACCCAAAACCGGAAGCGAAGCCAUUGGCACAGCCUUCCCAGAAUUCUGACUCCCCAAGUCACAGCUUCCGAAGGAAAAUCAGAAUGGCAGCCGCAAUCAUCCUCGAUGUCUUCCUUUCUUUCUCUGGGCCUCCAUAUUGCCAGCAACUCCAGUUGACUCUGCAGAACUGAGUCCAAAUCCAGUCGCUUUCCCACACCCCUAUUGCUCCCUGCACCUAAAACCCGAAGCAAAGCCAUUGGCACCUGCGUGUCCAGCCACCACCCUCUUUCCCUGGGACUAUUGCAAUCACAUCCUCAUGCCUCCCUCCCCAGCCCCCUUGUCCUGCUACACAGCUGGCACAGCUGCAGCUGGCCGUGUAAUUGUUGUAAGCUACCUUUUGUGUUAAAAGGGCAGAAAAAGAACGGGUUGUGUAUGAACUUGCAUUUGCAAGAGAAAGCCACCCUGUCCUGACAGCUACAUAGAGACAGUUUAGAGGUGGAACCUGAAGUUUAUAGAGUUGUAGGGUCCCUUAAGAAAAAUAAUAGAAAAUUAGGUACAAACGGUGAGAUUUAGAGUAAGAAAAGGAGUCAUAAAAAGUUAGAAAUUGUGGAAAGCUGAGAAAUGCCACAAACAUCACAAAAUCCAGGAAAAAAACAAUAAUUUUUUUAAUUUUUAAAAUUGAUUUUUAGAGGACAGAGAGAAACAUCGAUGAGUUGCCUAUCCCGGGCACUUGGACCAGUGAUCGAACUGCAACCUGGAUAUAUACCCUGAUAGGGAAUCAAACCUGCCACCUUUUGGUGUAGCCAAUCAACUGAGCCACAAUAUUUUUUAUUAAUCAACUGUCUGACAUAUCUUUAUAAUCCUUUCCCUCAACAGUUCAUUGGUCACCUUCAUAUGAUGACAAUGCUGUUGUUUUGUAUAUAGGGAAUUAAAAGAUAAUUUAGUCUUUCCUUUAACAUGACCUGUUGCAUAAAGCUUUCACUACUACAGACUGUUUAGGAAAGUUUCCGUUUCACAAGAUGUACUUGGAAAUGCUUUAUAUAAACACACACAUUUCAGCACCAUUGUGAAAUUUGGAAAAACCACCGUUAAUUUUUUUCAUAUAUGAUCAGUUACAGAUCAUUGAUUUGUAUAUGAUUUGUUGUUUUUAGUACAGCCAUAAGUUUGUAGUACAGCCCUACAAACACAGAUAUCUGAUCAUUGCAUUUUGCAUGAUCUUCUCCAAAGAAAAAAACAUGUACUGUGUUCUUUAUUGUAUAAUCUGUGUUAUUCAGUCUACUCCCCCAGGACAGAACUUUGGUUUGGACUAGGGGUUAAUGACAGCAUCAAGAAGCAAACCUUCCAUUUACAAUUUCAUGUCUGAUUGGUAGGCAAACUUUCUACAGAAUAGCUUCUGGCUCCUUACAUUCCAGGCCUGAUUUUCCUUCACUUUCUGCACACUUCCUGUGCUGGGUGACAUGGAGCGUAUUCAUAUGGUGAUACGAACUCUGGGCCAGCAUCUCUGAAUCAUGAUCCAGGUGAGUGAGAACCGUGAGCUGUAGGGAAGCCGUCUUCUCCACCAAGGCGGCUGACUUUGAACUACAUGCAUUUGUAUCAGUAAACUCAAAUUCAAUGUAUCCCCAGCUUCACUCCCCCUAAACUGGAUCCCCUUAGCUGCUUGCAGGUGAAUAUUACUUUUGAGAACUUUGCACACAUGACUGAUGAACAUAGGGCUGGGGCUCCCUCUAGCAACAAGAGCACAGAAGGAAUCCUAAAAACUUAAUUUUUCUGAGUGCUAUGGUCUGAAUGUGUGUUCCUCCCUUCUCUCACAUGCCCCCCCCCCCACUCCCCUCACCCAAAUUCAUAUGUUGAAUCUUAAUUCCCAAAGGUAAUGGUUAUUAGGUGGCAGGGCCUUUGGGAGGUGAUUAGGUCAUGAGGGUGGAGCCUUCAUGAAUGGGAUUAGAAAAAAGAGGCUCCAGAGAACUCCAGAGCCACUUCCACCAGGUUCAGACAUAAGAAGUCUGAGACCAGGAAGAGGGCCCUCACAUGACCAUGCUGAUACCCUGGUCUUGGACUUCCAACCUGCAGAACUAAGAGCAAUAAAUUUCUGCUGUUUAUCAGCCACCCAGUCUGUGGUGUUUUGUUAUUGCAGCCUGAACAGACUAAGACACUGAGUUUAUAGAAAACCCAAUUCCUGAUCCCAGCUUCCUUAUCUGUAAAAUGGGAUAAUGAUAAUUAUAUUACCUGCCUUAUGAAUAAAUUAUUAUAUGAAAAGCACUUAGAAUGAUGGUUGGCACAUAGUAGGUGCUUAUUAAAUAUUUGAUGACUUGAAUGACCAGUGAUAGAGACUUGUAAACUAUAAAGUAAAUGCCAUUCAAAUUCUUUAGUUCAGUUAAAAGUUGGCAUAAUCCAAACCAAUGUAUUGAAGUCCUUGCACAGCAGAUUUGUAAAAGCCUGGUUGUAAGAAGGAAAGUAAAUUUGUCUGUAGUAACAACUAGAGCUGGGGCUGGGGCUCUCCCCAGAGGGUGCAACUGGGAGCAUCUUGAAGUAGUUCCUCAGCCUCCACAAAAGACCUCAGGGAUGAGAAUCCCACUACCUCUGGAGGCAGCAGGCUCUUUAUUCCUCUAAAACUUUCUCCCACCUAUACCUCCUCCACUGGCUCUGUGUGCUCCCUCCCUCCACCCUCGUCAAAGAGAAGGCCCAAGCUGACAAGCAGAGAUUCCCAAAGAUGAGAAACUCACCCUAACCUCGAAAUCAGAAAGACUAAGGUGUUUUAAGCUCUCUGUAGGACAAGCAAAGAACCAAGAAGGAGUCUAGGAAGACAUCUAGAGAAAGAGGGGAGAAAUGUGGACAAAGAGAGAAGCCAUCCCACGAAGAGGUAGAAAGAAAGA